CCAGCUCAUAAAAACCUGACAAUCUCCACCUCCCACUCAGGGCCGGCACCAGGCACCCAAGCACAUGCUUGGGGCGGCACCUGUGAGCUGUGACAUUCACCUACUGAAAUCAGCAAAUGUACUUGGGUUGAGACCUUCAGCAGAGAUGUUUGGAGGAUGAAAGAGGAACAACUGAUAAAGAACAAAGAACGGCAACCACAAUAGCUGACAACUUUUCAUCCAGCAGCUGCAAAUUCCUCAAGCCUCCCUCCUCCAUCCCGAAGGUUAUCACAGAUAAGGCGUCGUAAGAAGAAGACGCGGGAGGACAUGUUUUCUGAAAUUAUGCAAUCCAGCAGGAGUGACAGAGCUCAUCUGAAU